CAGCAGCCGCGGGAAUACGUAGGGUGCAAGCGUUAAUCGGAAUUACUGGGCGUAAAGCGUGCGCAGGCGGUUAUAUAAGACAGAUGUGAAAUCCCCGGGCUCAACCUGGGAACUGCAUUUGUGACUGUAUAGCUAGAGUACGGCAGAGGGGGAUGGAAUUCCGCGUGUAGCAGUGAAAUGCGUAGAUAUGCGGAGGAACACCGAUGGCGAAGGCAAUCCCCUGGGCCUGUACUGACGCUCAUGCACGAAAGCGUGGGGAGCAAACAGGAUUAGAUACCCCUGUAGUCCCUGUCUUUAUACA
rnacentral:rRNA from 1 species